AUUGCCCUACGGGACGCAGCAGUGAGGAAUAUUGGUCAAUGGGCGGGAGCCUGAACCAGCCAAGUCGCGUGAGGGAAGAAGGUACUGAGUAUUGUAAACCUCUUUUGCCAGGGGACAAAGGCGGCCACGGGUGGCCGUAAGAGGGUACCUGGAGAAAAAGCAUCGGCUAACUCCGUGCCAGCAGCCGCGGUAAUACGGAGGAUGCGAGCGUUAUCCGGAUUUAUUGGGUUUAAAGGGUGCGUAGGCGGAAUGCCAAGUCAGCGGUAAAAUCGCGGGGCUCAACCUCGCUCCGCCGUUGAAACUGG
rnacentral:rRNA from 1 species